GUCUAUGGCCAUGCCACCCUGAACAAGCCUGAUCCUGUUUGAUCUCGGAAGCUAAACAGGGUUGGGCCUGGUUAGUCCUUGGAUGGGAGACCACCUAGGAAGACCAGGCGCUGUAGGCA
rnacentral:rRNA from 1 species